rnacentral:rRNA from 1 species
UCUUAUGUUGCCAGCACGUUAUGGUGGGAACUCAUGAGAGACUGCCGGGGUUAACUCGGAGGAAGGUGGGGAUGACGUCAAAUCAUCAUGCCCCUUAUGUCCAGGGCUUCACACAUGCUACAAUGGUCGAUACAGUGGGCAGCGACAUCGUAAGGUGGAGCGAAUCCCUGAAAGUCGGCCUUAGUUCGGAUUGGGGUCUGCAACUCGACCCCAUGAAGUCGGAGUCGCUAGUAAUCGCAGAUCAGCAAUGCUGCGGUGAAUACGUUCCCGGGCCUUGUACACACCGCCCGUCACGUCAUGAAAGUUGGUAACACCCGAAGCCAGUGGCCUAAACUUGUUAGGGAGC